GAUGAACGCUGGCGGCGUGCCUAAUACAUGCAAGUCGAGCGAAUGGAUUAAGAGCUUGCUCUUAUGAAGUUAGCGGCGGACGGGUGAGUAACACGUGGGUAACCUGCCCAUAAGACUGGGAUAACUCCGGGAAACCGGGGCUAAUACCGGAUAAUAUUUUGAACUGCAUGGUUCAAAAUUGAAAGGCGGCUUCGGCUGUCACUUAUGGAUGGACCCGCGUCGCAUUAGCUAGUUGGUGAGGUAACGGCUCACCAAGGCAACGAUGCGUAGCCGACCUGAGAGGGGGAUCGGCCACACUGGGACUGAGACACGGCCCAGACUCCUACGGGAGGCAGCAGUAGGGAAUCUUCCGCAAUGGACGAAAGUCUGACGGAGCAACGCCGCGUGAGUGAUGAAGGCUUUCGGGUCGUAAAACUCUGUUGUUAGGGAAGAACAAGUGCUAGUUGAAUAAGCUGGCACCUUGACGGUACCUAACCAGAAAGCCACGGCUAACUACGUGCCAGCAGCCGCCGUAA
rnacentral:rRNA from 1 species